AGGGUCUUCGCAUCGGGGGAAACCCCGACCCCGCAACGCCGCGUGGGGGUGAAGGCUUCGGGUGAAACCCCUUUCGGCGGGACGAAAAUGACGGUACCUGAAGAACAAGGGGCGGCUAACUACCUGCCAACAGCCCCGGUAAUAACUCCUUCCAGCCGCCAUAAUAUUAA
rnacentral:rRNA from 1 species